UACGUAGGUGGCGAGCGUUGUCCGGAUUUAUUGGGUUUAAAGGGUGCGUAGGCGGCCCUGUAAGUCAGUGGUGAAAUACGGCAGCUCAACUGUCGAGGUGCCAUUGAUACUGCGGGGCUUGAGUACUGAUGAGGUAGGCGGAAUUGACGGUGUAGCGGUGAAAUGCUUAGAUAUCGUCAAGAACACCGAUAGCGAAGGCAGCUUACUAAGGAGUAACUGACGCUGAGGCACGAAAGUGCGGGGAUCAAACAGG
rnacentral:rRNA from 1 species